UCGCGGGGCAGCCUGGGGGUUGCUUUCAAACCCCCCCCGGAUGGGCGGCGCACGGGUGAGUAACGCGUAUCCAACCUGCCCUUCACCACGGGAUAACCCGGCGAAAGUCGGACUAAUACCGUAUGUUGUCCAUUGACGGCAUCCGAUUUGGACGAAAGGCUUUGCGGUGAAGGAUGGGGAUGCGUCCGAUUAGCCAGACGGCGGGGUAACGGCCCACCGUGGCUACGAUCGGUAGGGGUUCUGAGAGGAAGGUCCCCCACACUGGAACUGAGACACGGUCCAGACUCCUACGGGAGGCAGCAGUGAGGAAUAUUGGUCAAUGGGCGUAAGCCUGAACCAGCCAAGUAGCGUGCAGGAUGACGGCCCUAUGGGUUGUAAACUGCUUUUAUGCGGGGAUAAAGGAGCCCACGUGUGGGCUUUUGCAGGUACCGCAUGAAUAAGGACCGGCUAAUUCCGUGCCAGCAGCCGCGGUAAUACGGAAGGUCCGGGCGUUAUCCGGAUUUAUUGGGUUUAAAGGGAGCGUAGGCCGCGCCUUAAGCGUGUUGUGAAAUCCGGGUGCUCAACAUCCGGCUUGCAGCGCGAACUGGGGCGCUUGAGUGCGCUGAAAGUAGGCGGAAUUCGUGGUGUAGCGGUGAAAUGCUUAGAUAUCACGAGGAACUCCGAUUGCGAAGGCAGCCUACUGUAGCGCUACUGACGCUGAUGCUCGAAAGCGUGGGUAUCGAACAGGAUU
rnacentral:rRNA from 1 species